rnacentral:rRNA from 1 species
UCGAGAAUCUUCGGCAAUGGGCGAAAGCCUGACCGAGCGACGCCGCGUGUGGGAUGAAGGCCCUUGGGUUGUAAACCACUGUCAGAGGGGAUGAAGUGCAUGGGAGUUAUCUCCUAUGUUUGACAUAGCCUCAGAGGAAGCACGGGCUAAGUUCGUGCCAGCAGCCGCGGUAAGACGAACUGUGCAAACGUUAUUCGGAAUCACUGGGCUUAAAGGGUGCGUAGGCGGUCUUGUAAGUAGGGUGUGAAAGCCCCCGGCUCAACCGGGGAACUGCGUUCUAAACUGCGAGGCUAGAGUGAGGUAGGGGUGUGUGGAACUUCCAGUGGAGCGGUGAAAUGUGUUGAUAUUGGAAGGAACGCCGGUGGCGAAAGCGACACACUGGACCUUGUCUGACGCUGAGGCACGAAAGCCAGGGGAGCAAACGG